UUGCAAAUUUCUGUAUAUAUUCAAGAAGAAGAACUCCCAGGGGUUUUCCUUCGCUUGUUUAGGAGAAGAAUCAGGUGCCAGUGGAUUUGCUUUUGUUAUCUUGGUUUGGUAUAUCAAUGGAGGUGGGAUUCCUUCAU